rnacentral:rRNA from 1 species
UGAGCAAUCUGCCCUUCACAUCGGAAUAACCAUUGGAAACGAUGGCUAAUACCGAAUAUGACUUCGGAUCGCAUGAUCUGAAGUGGAAAGCUCCGGCGGAGAAGGAUGAGCUCGCGGCCUAUCAGCUAGUUGGUGUGGGUAAUGGCCCACCAAGGCGACGACGGGUAGCCGGCCUGAGAGGGUGACCGGCCACACUGGGACUGAGACACGGCCCAGAUCCGUACGGG